rfam:Glossina fuscipes fuscipes unplaced genomic scaffold Scaffold11, whole genome shotgun sequence.
CACCGUAUAGUCUAGUGGUUAAGACAUCGGCCAUAUGGUCUGAAAACCCAAGUUCGAUCCCUGUUGCGGUAA